AUCCCAGGCUAUCAAAAUAUUUCAUUCUGAUUUUGGUGGUGAGUACUUGCCAAAAGACUUCAAGAAUCUACUUAACUCCCAAGGAACUUUAUCUCAAAUAUCUUGCAUUGAGAACCACUAGAGAAUGGUGUUUGUGAAUAGAAACAGGGUCACAUCAUUCCAACUAUUCGCAGUCUACUCUCAUCCUCCGCACCUUGUGAAUUCUGGGGGACAGCAAUUCAUAUGUUUGUAUAACUAAUUAAUAGGACAUCUUCUUCUAUCAUUGCUAGGAAAUUUCCCCAA
rnacentral:lncRNA from 1 species